UGCCAAUGGAAAAAAGUGACCUGAAAUACAGAUCUCAGACCUGACAUGAUGAAAAUCUAAUGCCACAGCUGUUGUCUCUCAGAACUGUCACUCAUCAUGUUUUAAUUUCACAGUUUUGAUUUAAUCUUUUCUAAAUACAGCACUGGAUAAAUACAGAACAAGAUAACAAGAGUUCCCAGCAAAGGAGCCAGUUGAAUGAGAGAGAGAUCCAAGAUGGCUGAUCACUAACAGCUCAGGAUUGUAGCUCCCAGUGAAAGCUCAGAGAACG
rnacentral:lncRNA from 1 species